rnacentral:rRNA from 1 species
AUUGAACGCUGGCGGCCGGCCUAACACAUGCAAGUCGAGCGAGCGGCGGACGGGUGAGUAAUGUCUGGGAAACUGUCUGAUGGAGGGGGCUAACUACUGGAACCGAUAGCUACUACCGCAUACCAUCAGAUGUGCCCAGAUGGGAUUAGCUAGUAGGUGGGGGAACGGCUCACCUAGGCGACGAUCCCUAGCUGGUCUGAGAGGUUGACCAGCCACACUGGAACGGAGCCACGUUCCAGUCUCCUACGGGAGGCAGCAGUGGGUAAUAUUGGACAAUGGGCGCAAGCCUGAUGCAGCCAUGCCGCGUGUGUGAAGAAGGCCUUCGGGUUGUAAAGCACUUUCAGCGGGGAGGCGUUACCCGCAGAAGAAGCACCGGCUAACUCCGUGCCAGCAGCCGCGGUAAUUC